AUGUACGGUUUUCUUGUUGAAAUCAUGGACCCGGCAGAGAUCUUGAAUGUUAGAUUUCACUUUGGGGGUCAGUUCAUACGAAUUGGUCCAAGUCUAGAUUAUGUUGGGGGAGAAACUGGAAUGUCAAAGAUUGAGCGGGACAAGCUCUCUUUGCAGGAGCUGAAAGGGUUUUUAGGAGAUCAUAUGACAGUGAAGGAGAGCAUGAAGUACUAUUUCCAGUUGCCUGGCAGAGAUUUGGUAAAUGGAUUGCUUUUUUUACAUGAUGAUGGUGGCUGCAUGAAGAUGUCUGACUACAUUACAGAGGGGGGAGUUGGUGAAAUAUAUGUGGAGUACAAUGGUGAAGAAGAAGAACAAGGAGAAAUAGACAGUGGGUCAGAUUUUGAGGAUGAGCUUGAUGAACUGAUGAACAUUGGCAGUGAAGAAGAACCUGAUGCAGUUAUCACAGCUGAAGAUUGUAGUGCCGAAGUCAAUGAUAAUGUCAAUGCCACUGAACAGACUGGUACUGCAGGAGAAAUUAUUGAGCAUAUAUUUGUUCCUGAUGUAGGUGGUGCGAUUACUCGGGUGAUAAACAGUCCAUUGAAGCAAAAUGUGAGAGUUGAUUAUCCUACUCAGAGUUCUCAAGUUCUUAAUGUAAGUCAACCAUGUCAAGCAGCCCAAGACAUAUCUGGUUCAGUUGCUAAAGUGGCAGAAAAUGGUUCAGAUUCAGAGGACUAUGAGUAUGUGCCCCAUACUGAUGAUAGUGGGGAAGAAUCAGAGGUUGUUGAGAUGAGAAAACAUGCAAGAAAAUUUAGAAAAAAGAUGGGAGAUUCCAAGAUGUGGGCUGAUGCAGAUGCAACAGGGGCCGUGCCCAUUGAUUUGGUAGCAAAUGUCGAGGAAGUUGUGGAGGACAUGGAGUUUGAGUCAUCAGAUGAAGACUACUCCUAUGAUGAGGAUGAGGAUGGCAACAUGGUUAGGAGGAAGAGCCAGUUUGUGAGGUUUAACCCAGACUCUGACAUUCCUCAUUUUAGUCUUGGAAUGGUUUUUAAAAGCAAGAAACAAUUGACUAGAGCUAUGAAGAGAUAUGGGCUUGCUACCAAAAGAAGCAUUUCAUUUUUAAAGUCAGAGGAGGCCAGAGUUAGAGCAAAAUGUGAUUGGCCUGGGUGUCCCUGGAUGUUGUAUGCAGCUAAGACCAGCAGGUGUUCUAGGUUUCAAAUCAUCACAUUUGAAGAUGAACACCAAUGUGCACAAAACAGAGACAACAAACUGGUUACUGCUAAGGUCAUUGCCAAAAGGUAUGAGCACUUCAUCCUGGCAAAUCCUUUGUGGAAGAUUGGUAGUAUGAAAGCCACAGUGAUGAAAGACAUGUUUGCUGAUGUGUCCAUUUCAAAGUGCAAGGCAGCAAAAAAACUUGUACUUGACCAGCUGAUGAGUGGUAUGAAAAGUGAGUACAACAAGGUGUUUGAUUAUCAGUUGGAACUUCUUAGGAGCAACCCUGGGAGUACUGUGGCUGUUUGCUUGGAUCCAAAAGAGAAGGAAGAAAAUAUUUUUCAACAAUUCUAUGUAUGUUUCAAUGCUAUGAAGCAAGGGUUUAAAGCUGGGUGUAGGAAAGUGGUUGGGCUAUAUGAUUGUUUCUUCAAGGGAGCCUGCCAAGGUGAGCUACUGGAUGCAAUAGCUAGGGAUGCAAACAACCAAAUGUAUCCAGUAGCUUGGGCUGUUGUGGAGAAGGAGACAAAUGAGAGUUGGGCCUGGUUCAUUGGUCUUUUAAUAAAAGACUUGGACAUUAACGAUCAAGGAGCUGGAUGGGUCUUUAUUUCUGAUAAGCAAAAGCAUGUCGAAAAGGUUUAG
rnacentral:rRNA from 1 species